GCUGUCCUGGCUGUGUGCUCCUGUGUAUGGAUUUAGAUGUGACAGAAACGUCCUGGUUUUGGGGUGACCACACCGAGAAAAUAAAUCAUCUGCCUCCCAAAAUGAGCAAUGCCUGACUGAAGUUUUUCUGGUGUUACAAACUGAUCCAGAAGUUCACCUUGAGCCAAGAACGCAGUAGCAUCAUACUGGAAAUCAUGGGAAGAGUGAGACAAUGAAUCCCAGAGCACAAGACCCUGUGUCAGUGAGUGAAGAAGCAGCCCGUGAUGUGUAAGCAAAGGGGCAAAGCAGCGUCUCACAGGGAAGGUGAGUUGUCUCUUGCAGGGCUGCUGCAGAGCUGUGCAGGGAGUGGGUUCCCACUAGGGUGCGCUAGGGCAGUUAAAAUGGGGAUGGUGUCCUUCUGGGAUCAGAAUGGAAGCAGUUAAGAUGCCU
rnacentral:lncRNA from 1 species